GUGGAUUAGAUACCCUGGUAGUCCACGCCGUAAACGUUGGGCACUAGGUGUGGGGUCUAUUCAACGGACUCCGUGCCGUAGCUAACGCAUUAAGUGCCCCGCCUGGGGAGUACGGCCGCAAGGCUAAAACUCAAAGGAAUUGACGGGGGCCCGCACAAGCAGCGGAGCAUGUUGCUUAAUUCGAGGCAACGCGAAGAACCUUACCUGGGUUUGACAUGUAGAGAAAAGCCGUAGAGAUACGGUGUCCUUCGGGGUUCUACACAGGUGGUGCAUGGUCGUCGACAACU
rnacentral:rRNA from 1 species